rnacentral:rRNA from 1 species
AAUGAGGCGAACCGGGGGAACUGAAACAUCUAAGUACCCCGAGGAAAAGAAAUCAACCGAGAUUCCCCCAGUAGCGGCGAGCGAACGGGGAGGAGCCCAGAGCCUGAAUCAGUGUGUGUGUUAGUGGAAGCGUCUGGAAAGGCGCGCGAUACAGGGUGACAGCCCCGUACACAAAAAUACACAUAUUGUGAGCUCGAUGAGUAGGGCGGGACACGUGGUAUCCUGUCUGAAUAUGGGGGGACCAUCCUCCAAGGCUAAAUACUCCUGACUGACCGAUAGUGAACCAGUACCGUGAGGGAAAGGCGAAAAGAACCCCGGCGAGGGGAGUGAAAAAGAACCUGAAACCGUGUACGUACAAGCAGUGGGAGCACGCUUAGGCGUGUGACUGCGUACCUUUUGUAUAAUGGGUCAGCGACUUAUAUUCUGUAGCAAGGUUAACCGAAUAGGGGAGCCGAAGGGAAACCGAGUCUUAACUGGGCGUUAAGUUGCAGGGUAUAGACCCGAAACCCGGUGAUCUAGCCAUGGGCAGGUUGAAGGUUGGGUAACACUAACUGGAGGACCGAACCGACUAAUGUUGAAAAAUUAGCGGAUGACUUGUGGCUGGGGGUGAAAGGCCAAUCAAACCGGGAGAUAGCUGGUUCUCCCCGAAAGCUAUUUAGGUAGCGCCUCGUGAAUUCAUCUCCGGGGGUAGAGCACUGUUUCGGCA